rnacentral:tRNA from 1 species
UCCCGAACAGCUCAGUUGGUAGCCUGCAAAUACGGAGCAUUUGGAGGCCGCAGAGAGCAAAUCUGACUGUUAAUCAGAGGGUCCUUGGUUCAAGUCCAAGUUCGGGAG